AAUCAACGCUGGCGGCGUGCCUCAGACAUGCAAGUCGAACGCGAAAGUCCCCCUCGGGGGACGAAGUAGAGUGGCGCACGGGUGAGUAACACGUAGGUAAUCUACCUUCGGGUGGGGAAGUAACAAUCGGAAACGGUUGCUAAUACCGCAUAAUGCAGCGGCACCUAAUGGUGACAGUUGUUAAAGCGGGGGAGUCGCAAGAUCUCGCGCCUGAAGAGGAGCCUGCGGCGGAUUAGCUAGUUGGUAGGGUAAUGGCCUACCAAGGCGACGAUCCGUAGCCGGCCUGAGAGGGCGGUCGGCCACACUGACACUGACAUAC
rnacentral:rRNA from 1 species